CUACAAAUGCCUAAAUAAAUUAGGCAAAUAUAGAAUAGUGCAUACAUUAAAGCAACCGCAGGCAAUGCAGUAUGUUAAUGGAAUAACUGCACAGUACAGUGACCAUGAAAAACAAGAUUAAUGAAGUCAGGCAGCAUGGACGUCCCAAGGAGUAGCAGCGAAAUCCAAGACGCAGCUUCUUCACUAGAGGUGAAUUAUUCCCCAUAAAAUGCUUUGGUAGGAGAAACUCACACAAACUACAAAACCCAAAUGCCAUAGGACAUUGGUUUCCUAAGGAAAUUCUUCCAAAAUAGGAUGCUGGGCAUUUGCAUGUAUAGUGGAGGGAGAAAGUUCCUCCUCACCUUGCCCUUAUUUUGAGAUACAAUGUGGCUUAGGAAUUCCUGGUAGAAGAGGACAAGGGAUAGGCUUGCCACUGUCUCUUUGCAUUCAAAUUUAUUCACAGUUCCUCGCUGGGAACUUCCUUAACCCCUCGCCUAAAGCAGCACUCAAUAGCUGCAAGCAAGAGCAGACAGAGCUACGCUGUUUUAAAAAUGCCUGUUGCGAGAGAGGAUCUGCGUGUAGAUACUUGAGCUACAGCUGCUACCUGACUGUUCCUAUUAGGAGGCUCCAAGUGGAGCCAAAACAGAUACCAUUGAUCUCUUCAGAUCACAGAAGACCAUUUAGAAAAUAUGAAUGCUUCUUUGCAUCACAAGUGCUUAAAUCCAGUGGCCUAUUUUAAAUAAAAGAUUGAAGAAAGUGAGUAAGAAUUCAUCCAUAGUUUUGUCAUCUAACAGGCAAACUAACCUACUUCAGAAGGGGAAAUGUAACAAAACAGCUACUGAAUUGUUUAUAUGCCAUUAAUUUUUUUGGCAGUUACAUUAUCAGGAGCAAUAGCAUCUGACUCUUGCUAGCUCUUUGCUUUAGCUUAGGGCCUUAAUUGAAUUAAAGGGUAUGAACAUGAAAGAAGUUUCAAGGCUCCCCUGUGUGUAACUUCUUCAUGCUAAAAUGGUGAACAAUUAAAGGAAUAAGGUCUUCUUUUUUCCUUUUCACAAUUCCCAGUUGCAUUUAUUUGAAAAAGAUAAGGAAACUCUGUUAUCCUCUGGAUGAUAAAAUUGGGGUUGAUUCUGCCCUACAAGCCAAGCAGGUCAUUGCCUAGGGAAAAACAUAGGAAGAAUUGAAUCUUUUAUAAUUAUAUUGGGGAUUUCUGAGGCAGAGCAAAGGGAAUCAUGUUUGUCAAAGCAGCCGAGCCUUAAAUUCAGCUCUGGACAGACAUGCAAUUAGAAUGGCUUGUUCAGGAUCAUUUUCUGUCCCCAGAAAUGAGUUAAAACAGAUAGCUGAGCACCUGUAUAAAAAGAAGUGGCAUUAUAUUAAAAUAGGAUAUUCUAUCCAUUGUACAGUGAUAAAUUGAAUUGCCUUUAUUUGACCUUUUGCUUUUGCUUAAGGCUUACGUUGGUGCUUUACACACAAAUUUUAGUUCUGUUUUCUAAUGAGGUGGCACACUUAGAGGCACUGAAGCCCUUAAAGAGAUGACCUCCUAACCAUGCAGCCUGCUCCACCCUAGCGCAGUUUUUGGAGUUUAAGGAAGCCACGCUCGGGUAAGGAAUUGCAGUUGUUGCAAUCUGCUCUCACAGAGAGCGACCCAGUAUAUUUAAAGCAGGCUUUAAAAACAGUUUGGAAAAACAGGUCAUAGAGUUCAUGUUUGUCCUGUCAUCAGGCCAACUGUUGGGCCUCAGAUGAGAGAUACAGAGCUGUGACUUUAAUCUAU
ensembl:lncRNA